UACGAAGGGGGCUAGCGUUGCUCGGAAUUACUGGGCGUAAGGGCGCGUAGGCGGAUACUUAAGUCGGGGGUGAAAGCCCAGGGCUCAACCCUGGAACAGCCUUCGAUACUGGGUAUCUUGAGUACGGGAGAGGUGUGUGGAACUCCGAGUGUAGAGGUGAAAUUCGUAGAUAUUCGGAAGAACACCAGUGGCGAAGGCGACACACUGGCCCGUUACUGACGCUGAGGCGCGAAAGCGUGGGGAGCAAACAGG
rnacentral:rRNA from 1 species